rnacentral:rRNA from 1 species
UACGUAGGGUGCAAGCGUUGUCCGGAAUUAUUGGGCGUAAAGAGCUCGUAGGCGGUCUGUCGCGUCUGCUGUGAAAACUCAGGGCUUAACCCUGAGCUUGCAGUGGGUACGGGCAGACUAGAGUGCGGUAGGGGAGACUGGAAUUCCUGGUGUAGCGGUGGAAUGCGCAGAUAUCAGGAAGAACACCCGUGGCGAAGGCGGCUCUCUGGAACGCAACUGACGCUGAGACGCGAAAGCGUGGGGAGCAAACAGG